UACGUAGGGACCAAGCGUUGUUCGGAUUUACUGGGCGUAAAGGGCGCGUAGGCGGCUUGUCAAGUCACUUGUGAAAUCUCUGGGCUUAACCCAGAACGGCCAAGUGAAACUGACAUGCUAGAGUGUGGAAGGGCAAUCGGAAUUCUUGGUGUAGCGGUGAAAUGCGUAGAUAUCAAGAGGAACACCUGAGGUGAAGACGGGUUGCUGGGCCAACACUGACGCUGAGGCGCGAAAGCCAGGGGAGCAAAUGGG
rnacentral:rRNA from 1 species